CUUCAAUACUGCAGGUGCAGAAAGAGGCAAUAGAUCAGAAGCAGAGGAAUGCUGAAGUGAUGAUUGGUUCUCUACCUAUUCCAGUGAAAGAUUGGAGCACUGGCCGACAAGGAAACUGCCCUGUCGAAGCAGGAGCUGGACGCACAGAGACGGCCAUGCCUAAAAACUGCAAUAUUGUUGAGAAGCCAGCUAAGCAUAAUGCUUUACAGAUUGGGUCAAACAGAGUACCUGCCAAGCUUUAUAGGCCUGUGAGGCAUGAAGUUGGAAGACCAGAUCCUGAAGAGGG
rnacentral:misc_RNA from 1 species